rnacentral:rRNA from 1 species
CGAACGCUGGCGGCAGGCUUAACACAUGCAAGUCGAGCGCCCCUUUCGGGGGGAGCGGCGGACGGGUGAGUAACGCGUGGGAACGUGCCCUUUUCUCUGGAAUAGCCUCGGGAAACUGAGAUUAAUGCCGGAUACGCCCUUCGGGGGAAAGAUUUAUCGGAGAAGGAUCGGCCCGCGUUGGAUUAGAUAGUUGGUGGGGUAACGGCCUACCAAGUCUACGAUCCAUAGCUGGUUUGAGAGGAUGAUCAGCCACACUGGGACUGAGACACGGCCCAGACUCCUACGGGAGGCAGCAGUGGGGAAUCUUGGACAAUGGGGGCAACCCUGAUCCAGCCAUGCCGCGUGAACGAUGAAGGCCCUAGGGUUGUAAAGUUCUUUCAGCGGGGAAGAUAAUGACGGUACCCGCAGAAGAAGCCCCGGCUAACUCC